UCUGUUUACACAAAGUGCCCUGGUGUUGGAGCCAACAUUUUGACAAAGAUCAAAGCCAUUCCCAUCACCUUCCAAUGCUGUCCAGAAUUUUCCCUGGAAUAUGUGCAGAAGCUGUUUAUAAGAAUGCGAAUAUACUACAGCAUAAAAUUUGCCAACAGAGACUUAGCCACAUCUAAACCAAAGAACAGAAAAUACAUCAAAGUCACACAUCUUUAAAUAAUAUACUGGACAUGUGUUAACGCUGCUCUGGUUUACAAGCUAAGACUGGAUUGUAAAUAUAGCCUUAAAUGACUAAAUUUACUGUUCACGAGCCAAACAUUUCGACACUCUUCUUAAUAGUUUAGGAUAUUGAGACACAAUAAGGAUGUCCAUUUAUGAUUUGUUAUUCAAUCACUGCUAAAGAUAGACAGAAAACAUCGAAAAUUAAAACUAUAUUAAAACUACUGUCUGUGCUAUUGUACGAUAGGCGAUAGCUACUGGAUUCGGUUCUCCAUGAACAAUAUCGAAGAAAAAAAUGCGCCUACGAGCAUUUAGUUUGACUUUUAGAUAAAUAAAUUGAAAUUACAUACCUUCUCCUUGAAUGCUCUGGUCAUUAAAACCAAAAUUUUGAACAUAAACUCCCACGGUAUGCUUUUAAAACGAAAAUAUAACGCUCGCUCAAUACAAUUUAUAUUUAUUCUGGCAGCAAGUUACUGGCCAGAGUAAUGGCGGCCGUCGAAUUUCCGGUAUGCGCGACACGGCAUGCGCGAGGACACCGACUUCAAAGGAUCCG